CCUACGGGAGGCAGCAGUGGGGAAUUUUGGACAAUGGGGGCAACCCUGAUCCAGCCAUUCCGCGUGAGUGAAGAAGGCCUUCGGGUUGUAAAGCUCUUUCGCAAGGGAAGAAAACUUAUGAUCGAAUAAAUCAUGAGGUUGACGGUACCUUGAUAAGAAGCACCGGCUAACUACGUGCCAGCAGCCGCGGUAAUACGUAGGGUGCGAGCGUUAAUCGGAAUUACUGGGCGUAAAGCGUGCGCAGGCGGUUUUGUAAGUCGGAUGUGAAAUCCCCGGGCUCAACCUGGGAACUGCGUUCGAAACUGCAAGGCUAGAGUGUGUCAGAGGGGGGUAGAAUUCCACGUGUAGCAGUGAAAUGCGUAGAGAUGUGGAGGAAUACCGAAUGGCGAAGGCAGCCCCCUGGGAUAACACUGACGCUCAUGCACGAAAGCGUGGGGAGCAAACAGGAUUAGAUACCCUGGUAGUCCACGCCCUAAACGAUGUCAACUAGUUGUUGGUAGAGUAAAAUCUAUGAGUAACGUAGCUAACGCGUGAAGUUGACCGCCUGGGGAGUACGGUCGCAAGNUUAAAACCUCGAAAGUAGUAGUAGGCGUGAGAGAGCGACGACGACGACGACGGAGGAGGAGG
rnacentral:rRNA from 1 species